AAUGGAAAAGUAUGGGUUCAAUUUAGAAGAGAAGUUGGCCCCUGUCUACAAUCAAGAUCAGUUUUACUGACUGUUGCAAACCACAGCAUAUAGACCUAGUACAAAGCUUUUCCUUUUCUGCAGGAGCCAUACCUACAUUUUGUACACAUAGAACAGCGAGUUGGCAACAGAUCUGCUGUGAAAGUUGUGAUCCUUUAAAGGACAUAUAAUCUGCUGUGCUUUUCAAAACUCCAAAAUAGUAAUGACCACAGUGCGCUGAGCCAAGUGAGGGAUUCAGAAGUCAUCACUCUGGCAGGCACCGGCCUGUGCGCUUGUCCUCUGGUGAGGAGAGAAACUUUCCGUUGCGCUGCCCCUCCAGCCUCCUCAAGAGCAAGGAUGGGGAGGGCUUCCAGAGGCCAGCUCAUCAGCUCUGGUGCUGAAUCAGCCCAAGAAUUUUUAACUACAGGAGAAAAAUGGAUCACACUGGAGGACAUUCUCCUUGAAGAGAACUUCACCCUGGCCUAAUCAGAGAUGCAAAUUUCUGAGGUACUCUGAACAUCUUUAACUGUUCUCAGCAGUUUAUUACAAUAAGAAAUGUAAAUCAUGGUCAUGCACUUUUUGUCUGAGGUGUAACCGUUAGUGACCCCUUUGGUGUGACAAGCUYUGUAAGGAAAAUGCCUCAGGCUCUUAUCCUCUUAGAAAGAUCUGUG
rnacentral:lncRNA from 1 species